GCUCCAGUAGCAUAUAUUAACGUUGUUGCAGUUAAAAAGCUCGUAGUUGGAUUUCUGGUACGAUGCGCUUGGUCCGCGUCCGGUUUAACCGGUGCGUGAGUACCGACGUGCGUCUGCCAUCCUUCUGGAUUAAGCGGUCACCUGCUCUUAAUUGAGUGCGGAGGCCAGCCUUACCAGAUCGUUUACUUUGAAAAAUUAGA
rnacentral:rRNA from 1 species